CCCCAGCGCCGUGGCUCCCAGGGCACUGCUGCCUUAUGUGGGGCCCUGAGGCCGCCAGCGGGCUGGGGCCUCGCCCGGCAGCAAAGGGCAGAGCUGGCAGGGAACCGGCUGGGGUGUGGAGAAAGGGCAUCAGGGUGAGUCCCGGGUCAGCAGGACUGCAGACGCCAGGGAAACUGAGGCCCAGGAGACAGAUUCUCUGCUUGAGGUCACUGGCUUCAGGACUGGCCGUCUGGGUUCUGUCCACACAGUGGGGUUUGCACGUGUGGCUCUGAGACAGGGGCGCGCCGCCCCCUUCCCACGCCAGCGGUAGACGUGGAGCCCCAUCCCACCCCCACGGCAGGUCAGACAUGCAGAAUCCGGGUGGCAGUGGAUCCUCCGGCCCCUCCCUGGUCCUGGGCUCGUCUCACCCUGAGGGCCCCGCGCUGCGGGCUUUGGGCUCCGCCAGGACCUGCCCCAACUGAGGAGGACACGGGCUUCAGUGCUCACGGGGAGGCUGGGGGUGGGCAGGCUCGAGGGCCAGCAUGGACGGGGUGGGCAGGAUUUGGCCCAGAGCCCCAAGGAGCUGCCCUGCGGGAGGCUCUGUGCCUGGAGCCCAGUGACAGUGGAGCAGAGUCGGGGGCCGACUGGACGGCAGGAGGAAAGGGGUUUCCACCAAGAGGCCAUGGGGAUCAAGAGCCCAUAGCCUACCGUGAACUGACUCAGUUUUGGUUUGUUAUUUUUAUUUUAUUGUUUUUGAGGAAGAUUAGCCCUGAGCUAAUAUCUGCCACCAAUCCUCUUUCUGCUGAGGAAGACUGGCCCUGAGCUCACAUCCAUGCCCAUCUUCCUCUACUUUAUAUGUGGGACGCCUGCCACAGCAUGGCUUGACAGGCGGUGUCAUGUCCGCACCCAGGAUCCAGCAAACCCCGGGCCCCCAAAGGGGAACGUGCAAACUUAACUGCUGUGCCACCAGGCCGGCCCCCAACUGAGUCAGUUUUAACCUGUGCACACAGUCGAGGCCCACCUGCUGUCUCUGGGUGUCCCCCUCCCCAACACCCACCCCUGGAUCCUCAGCAUCCUUUCUCACACAGCUGGGCACUGUCCUGCCAGGCUCUGCUGCUUGCAGGAUACUCUUCCUGCAGGUGUCCACAGGACACCAUCCCUCCCUGCCUUCAGGUCUUCACACAGACAUCUCCUCCUCCGAGAGGCCCCCGGACUUUGCCCCCAGCACCUCCUCAUCCCCUCUCCCGGCUCUGAGUCAUGUAGCCUGUACCACCUUCUAAGGGAGGAUGUGCCCCCUACUAAACGUCACGUGUGCCGUGCUGGUCCUUUGUCUCUUCUGUGCGGCUCUCAGCACCGUUAGGUUCCCUUCUGAAUCCCAGCCCCUGAGCAGGUGCUUAGUAAGUCCUUGUUGAAUGAAUGAGGGAAUGAACGAACCCCUGGCCUGGACUAGGGGUGAGAGCGGGUGGGAG
rnacentral:lncRNA from 1 species